rnacentral:pre_miRNA from 1 species
CGAGAUUUUGGGAGAUUGAAGGUCGUGUUUGCAGAGUGAAAUUGGCAACUUGGCAAGAUGUUGGCAUAGCUGAAAGUUUUGAGUUUAGCUAUUCAACUUCUUGUCUAUUUUUCCAAUUUAUUGACAACGAAGAGGCGUUUUUCCGUGAU